rnacentral:rRNA from 1 species
AGUGAACGCUGGCGGUAGGCCUAACACAUGCAAGUCGAACGGCAGCACAGUAAGAGCUUGCUCUUACGGGUGGCGAGUGGCGGACGGGUGAGGAAUACAUCGGAAUCUACUUUUUCGUGGGGGAUAACGUAGGGAAACUUACGCUAAUACCGCAUACGACCUACGGGUGAAAGCAGUGGAUCUUCGGACCUUGCGCGAUUGAAUGAGCCGAUGUCGGAUUAGCUAGUUGGCGUGGUAAAGGCCCACCAAGGCGACGAUCCGUAGCUGAUCUGAGAGGAUGAUCAGCCACACUGGAACUGAGACACGGUCCAGACUCCUACGGGAGGCAGCAGUGGGGAAUAUUGGACAAUGGGCGCAAGCCUGAUCCAGCCAUACCGCGUGGGUGAAGAAGGCCUUCGGGUUGUAAAGCCCUUUUGUUGGGAAAGAAAAGCAGCAGGUUAAUACCCCGCUGUUCUGACGGUACCCAAAGAAUAAGCACCGGCUAACUUCGUG